GCUGACUUGGCCGAGUGGUCUAAGGCGGUAGACUUAAGCUCUACUAUCGAAAGAUGCGUCGGUUCGAACCCGGCAGUCAGCA